GGGAAUAUGGACAAUGGGGCAAGCCUGAUCCAGCAAUGCCGCGUGGGUGAAGACGGCAUGCGGGUUGUAAAGCCCUUUAGGUGGGGAGGAACGGAGUCGUGUGAACAGUGCGGCGUUCUGACGGUACCCGCAGAAUAAGCACCGGCUAACUCCGUGCCAGCAGCCGCGGUAAUACGGAGGGUGCGAGCGUUAUUCGGAAUUACUGGGCGUAAAGCGUGCGUAGGCGGUUUUGUCAGUCAGCCGUGAAAGCCCCGGGCUCAACCUGGGAACGGCGGUUGAGACGGCCUCCCUGGAGUGGGCUAGAGGAUCGUGGAAUUUCUGGUGUAGCGGUGAAAUGCGUAGAGAUCGGGAGGAACACCGAUGGCGAAGGCAGCGCUCUGGGGCCACACUGACGCUGAGGCACGAAAGCGUGGGGAGCAAACAGGAUUAGAUACCCUGGUAGUCCACGCGGUAAACGAUGAGCACUAGACGUCGGGUGGGUGACCAGUCGGUGUCGCAGCUAACGCGAUAAGUCUCCGCCUG
rnacentral:rRNA from 1 species